rnacentral:rRNA from 1 species
AUUGAACGCUGGCGGCAGGCCUAACACAUGCAAGUCGAGCGAGCGGCGGACGGGUGAGUAAUGUAUGGGGACUGCCCGAUAGAGGGGGAUAACUACUGGAAACGGUGGCUAAUACCGCAUACGGUCGGAUAACCAAUAUGGGAUUAGCUAGUAGGUAAGGUAAUGGCUUACCUAUGCGACGAUCCCUAGCUGGUCUGAGCGGAUGAUCAGCCACAGUGGGACUGAGACCAGGCCCAUACUCCGCCGGAGGCAGCGGUGGGAAAGAUUGAAGAAUGGGCGAAAGCCUGAUGCAGCAAUGUCGCGUGUAUGAAGAAGUCCCUAGGGUUGUAAAGUACUUUCAGUCGGGAGGCGUUACCGACAGAAGAAGCACCGGCUAACUCCGUGCCAGGAGCCGCGGUAAUAC